GACGAACGCUGGCGGCGUGCCUAAUACAUGCAAGUCGAACGCAGUGGGGACGGGUGAGUAACACGUGGGUAACCUCCCAUCAGAGGGGAUAACACUUGGAAACAGGUGCUAAACCGAUACUGAUGGAUGGACCCGCGGUGCAUUAGCUAGUUGGUGAGGUAACGGCUACCCCAGGCCACGAUGCAUAGGCGACCUGGGGGGGGGAUCGGCCACACUGGGACUGUAGCACGGCCCAGACUCCGACGGGAGGCAGCAGUAGGGAAUCUGCGGCAAUGGACGAAAGUCUGACCGAGCAACGCCGCGUGAGUGAAGGAGGUGUUCGGAUCGUAAAACUCUGUUGUUAGAGUAGCGGUAUCUAACCAGAAAGCCACGGCUAACUCCGUGCCAGCAGCCGCGGUAAUUC
rnacentral:rRNA from 1 species